ACGCUCACAAUCGCGACCCCAGGU
rnacentral:rRNA from 1 species